GCCUUGACCACGCCCAGAUUCCACUCAGUCUUUCCGCCCACAAAGACCUCAAAGUAAACCUACAUGAUGAGAAGCCUCUCUGUCCCAGAACUGCAAGAUGUUCUGUAAACAUUUUGGGUUCAGGUUGUGGUUUAAAACACAACUUAAAUCAUUGCGGUACAUCACC